AGCUCCAAUAGCGUAUAUUAAAGUUGCUGCAGUUAAAAAGCUCGUAGUUGCAUUUCCGAGGCAAGGGAUUAGUCCGACCUUUGGUGGGUAUUUAAUCCUCUUGCCUCGUCCUUGAGUGGUGCUUCUUGGUAUUAAGUUAUCGAGGAGAUAGCCGCUCAUCGUUUACUGUGAGAAAAUUAGAGUAUUCAAAGCAGGCUUAUGCCGUUGAAUAUACUAGCAUGGAAUAAUAAGAUAGGACCUCGGUACUAUUUUGUUGGUUUGAGAACCAAGGUAAUGAUGAAUAGGGACAGUUGGGAGUAUUCGUAUUCAGUUGUCAGAGGUGAAAUUCUUAGAUUUACGGAAGACGAACUACUGCGAAAGCAUUUACCAAGGAUGUUUUCA
rnacentral:rRNA from 1 species